GACGAACGCUGGCGGCGUGCUUAACACAUGCAAGUCGAACGGAAAGGCCCUGCUUUUGUGGGGUGCUCGAGUGGCAAACGGGUGAGUAACACGUGAGUAACCUGCCCUUGACUUUGGGAUAACUUCAGGAAACUGGGGCUAAUACCGGAUAGGAGCUCCUGCUGCAUGGUGGGGGUUGGAAAGUUUCGGCGGUUGGGGAUGGACUCGCGGCUUAUCAGCUUGUUGGUGGGGUAGUGGCUUACUAAGGCUUUGACGGGUAGCCGGCCUGAGAGGGUGACCGGCCACAUUGGGACUGAGAUACGGCCCAGACUCCUACGGGAGGCAGCAGUGGGGAAUAUUGCACAAUGGGCGGAAGCCUGAUGCAGCAACGCCGCGUGCGGGAUGACGGCCUUCGGGUUGUAAACCGCUUUCGCCUGUGACGAAGCGUGAGUGACGGUAAUGGGUAAAGAAGCACCGGCUAACUACGUG
rnacentral:rRNA from 1 species